rnacentral:rRNA from 1 species
AUUGAACGCUGGCGGCAGGCCUAACACAUGCAAGUCGAACGAGUGGCGGACGGGUGAGUAAUGUCUGGGAAACUGCCUGAUGGAGGGGGAUAACUACUGGAAAAGGUAGCUAAUACCGCAUACCCUAGGAUGUGCCCAGAUGGGAUUAGCUAGUAGGUGGGGUAAAGGCUCACCUAGGCGACGCUCCCUAGCUGGUCUGAGAGGAUGACCAGCCACACUGGAAUGGAGACACGGUCAAGACUCCUACGUGAGGCAGCAGUGGGGAAUAUUGCACAAUGGGCGCAAGCCGUAUGCAGCCAUGCCGCGUGUAGUAAGAAGGCCUUCGGGUUGUAAAGUACUUUCAGCGGGGAGGCGUUACCCGCAGAAGAAGCACCGGCUAACUCCGUGCCAGCAGCCGCGGUAAUUC